CCUACGGGAGGCUGCAGUGGGGGAUAUUGCACAAUGGGGGAAACCCUGAUGCAGCGACGUCGCGUGAGUGAAGAAGUAUCUCGGGAUUUUAAGCUCUUUCUGCAGGGAAGUAAAGUACAGUACGUGACCAUUAUUCCCCGGCCAAUAACGUUCCAGCAGCCGCGGUAACAUGUAGGGGGCAAGCGUUAUCCGGAUUAACUGGGUGUAAAGGGAGCGUAGACGGGUAUGUAGGACUGGAGUGAAGGCCCGGGGCCCAACCCCGGGACUGCUGUGGAAACUGUGUAACUGGAGUACAGGAGGGGCAGGCGGAAUUCCUGGUGUAGCGGUGAAAUGCGUAGAUAUCAGGAGGAACACCGGCGGCGAAGGCAGCCUGCUGGACUGCAACUGACGUUGAGGCUCGAAAGCGUGGGGAGCAAACAGGAUUAGAUACCCUAGUAGUC
rnacentral:rRNA from 1 species